rnacentral:misc_RNA from 2 species
AGCAGCCGCGGUAAUUCCAGCUCCAAUAGCGUAUAUUAAAGUUGUUGCAGUUAAAAAGCUCGUAGUUGAAUUUUGGAUUCUUCCAAUUGGUCCAUCUUUUAGAUGAGUACUGGUUGUGUGGGGUCUAUCCGCCUGGUGAUACGUAAUGUCCUUUAUUGGAUGUUUCGGGUAGUCAGGACCUUUACCUUGAAAAAAUUAGAGUGUUUAAAGCAGGCUUAUGCCGGAAUACAUUAGCAUGGAAUAAUAGAAUAGGACGAAGUUGUUUUAUUUUGUUGGUUUCUAGGACAACCGUAAUGAUUAAUAGGGAUAGUUGGGGGCAUUAGUAUUCAAUUGUCAGAGGUGAAAUUCUUGGAUUUAUUGAAGACUAACUACUGCGAAAGCAUUUGCCAAGGAUGUUUUCAUUAAUCAAGAACGAAAGUUAGGGGAUCGAAGACGAUCAGAUACCGUCGUAGUCUUAACCAUAAACUAUGCCGACUAGGGAUCGGGCGAUGUUGUUCCCAUGACUCGCUCGGCACCUUAU